CACGUAGGGUGCGAGCGUUGUCCGGAAUUAUUGGGCGCAAAGAGCUCGUAGGCGGUGUGUCGCGUCGGCCGUGAAAACUUGCAGCUUAACUGUGGGCGUGCGGUCGAUACGGGCAUCACUGGAGUUCGGCAGGGGAGACUGGAAUUCCUGGUGUAGCGGUGAAAUGCGCAGAUAUCAGGAGGAACACCGGUGGCGAAGGCGGGUCUCUGGGCCGAUACUGACGCUGAGGAGCGAAAGCGUGGGGAGCGAACAGG
rnacentral:rRNA from 1 species